rnacentral:rRNA from 1 species
GCCAGACUCCUACGGGAGGCAGCAGUGAGGAAUAUUGGUCAAUGGGCGCUAGCCUGAACCAGCCAAGUAGCGUGAAGGAUGACUGCCCUAUGGGUUGUAAACUUCUUUUAUAUGGGAAUAAAGUGCAGUAUGUAUACUGCUUUGCAUGUACCUUAUGAAUAAGGAUCGGCUAACUCCGUGCCAGCAGCCGCGGUAAUACGGAGGAUCCGAGCGUUAUCCGGAUUUAUUGGGUUUAAAGGGUGCGUAGGCGGACGCUUAAGUCAGCGGUAAAAUUGCGGGGCUCAACCUCGUCGAGCCGUUGAAACUGGGUGCCUUGAGUGGGCGAGAAGUACGCGGAAUGCGUGGUGUAGCGGUGAAAUGCAUAGAUAUCACGCAGAACUCCGAUUGCGAAGGCAGCGUACCGGCGCCCAACUGACGCUGAAGCACGAAGGCGUGGGUAUCGAACAGGAUUAGAUACCCCAGUACG